rnacentral:misc_RNA from 1 species
GAUGAAGAACGUAGCAAAAUGCGAUAAGUAAUGUGAAUUGCAGAAUUCAGUGAAUCAUCGAAUCUUUGAACGCACAUUGCGCCCACCAGUAUUCUGGCGGGCAUGCCUGUUCGAGCGUCAUUACGCCCCUCAAGUCCCCUGUGGACUUGGUGUUGGGGAUCGGCGAGGCUGGUUUUCCAGCACAGCCGUCCCUUAAAUUAAUUGGCGGUCUCGCCGUGGCCCUCCUCUGCGCAGUAGUAAAACACUCGCAACAGGAGCCCGGCGCGGUCCACUGCCGUAAAACCCCCCAACUUUUUAUAGUUGACCUCGAAUCAGGUAGGACUACCCGCUGAACUUAAGCAUAUCAAUAAGCGGAGGA